GGAUGUGAGGGUAAACUGGAUGCUACAUCUGUCACCCCAUUGAUUGCCAGGAGGGUUGAUUCGGCUGAUCUGGCUGGCUAGGCGAGUGCUCCCUUCCUCCCUCCCUAACCCCUCCAUGUGUGUCCCUCCCAAAGCUGUGUGCUUGGUCCAAGAGGACAUACUUCCCAGAACAGAGGAGGACAGGUCUUCAGUCACAAGUAUAGGAGUAGCUGCUCUCCCCUGCUAGAACCUCCAAAUAAGCUCUAAAUUAUUUUUAUUUUAUGUGUAAGGGAGCUUUGCCUGCAUGGAUGUGCCAAGUA
rnacentral:snRNA from 1 species